rnacentral:rRNA from 1 species
GACGAACGCUGGCGGCGUGCCUAAUACAUGCAAGUAGGACGCAGUUGCGAACGGGUGAGUAACGCGUAGGUAACUACCUAUAAGAGGGGGAUAACUAUUGGAAACGAUAGCUAAUACAGCAUACUAGUAGAUGGACCUGCGUUGUAUUAGCUAGUAGGUAGGGUAAUUGCCUACCUAGGAAACGAUACAUAGCCGAACGUGGAGGGGGAACGGCCAAAAUGGGACUGGGACAAGGGCCAGAAUCCUAAGGGAGGGAGCAGGAGGGAAGCUUUGGAAAUGGGGGGAACCCUGACCGAGCAACGGCGCGUGAGGGAAGAAGGGUUUCGGGUCGUAAAGCUCUGUUGUUAAGGAAGCGGUACUUAACCAGAAAGGGACGGCUAACUACGUGCAAGCAGCCGCGGUAAUUC